rnacentral:tRNA from 1 species
GGGAGAUUAGCUCAGUUGGUAGAGCGUCUCGUUUACACCGAGAAUGUCGGCGGUUCGAACCCGUCAUCUCCCACCA